UACGGAGGGUGCGAGCGUUAUUCGGAUUCACUGGGCGUAAAGGGCACGUAGGCGGUUCAAUAAGUUUGAUGUGAAAGCCCCGGGCUUAACCCGGGAACGGCAUUGAAUACUAUCUGGCUGGAGGGUUGGAGGGGGGACUGGAAUUCUCGGUGUAGCAGUGAAAUGCGUAGAUAUCGAGAGGAACACCAGUGGCGAAGGCGAGUCCCUGGACAAUACCUGACACUGAGGCACGAAAGCCGGGGGAGCAAACAGG
rnacentral:rRNA from 1 species